rnacentral:misc_RNA from 1 species
AACUUUUGACAACGGAUCUCUUGGCUCUCGCAUCGAUGAACAACGCAGCGAAAUGCGAUGAGUAAUGUGAAUUGCAGAAUUCAGUGAAUCAUCGAAUCUUUGAACGCACCUUGCGCUCCUUGGUAUUCCGAGGAGCAUGCCUGUUUGAGUGUCAUUAAAUUCUCAACCUUAUCAGCUUUUGCUGAUAGUGGCUUGGAUGUGGGGGUUUUCUCUUGCUGGCUUCUUUAUCGAGGUCAGCUCCCCUUAAAUGCAUUAGCUGGUGCCCCGUGUGGACUGUCUAUUGGUGUGAUAAUUAUCUACGCCGUGGAUGUCUGCAAUCAUAUGGGUUUUGCACUGCUUCUAACUGUCUGUUCAUUCGGACAAUAUAUGACAAUUUGACCUCAAAUCAGGUAGGACUACCCGCUGAACUUAAGCAUAUCAAUAAGCGGAGGCU